rnacentral:lncRNA from 1 species
GAAUUAUAAGUGCCUCUUUAUUUUCUCUAAGAUUGCAUUAGAAAAUAUUUUUUUCUGACUAAUAAUGCUUUCCUUUUCAUUCUAUUAUUGAAUUUUGGUUUUCCAUGUGUUACUUUUGUGUACUCUCCCCUUAUUUCAACAAAGCAUUAAUUAAAUAUUUGAGUACCUAUUCUGUAUAGUGACUUGAACUAGAUCUUUAGAGAUACAAGGUUGAAUAAAAUACAGACCCUAUCAUCAAGGAUAAUUCUAGUGACAAUUAUAUUUCACAUUAUUUCUGUCAGGUCUUGAUAAUAUUUUAAUCACAGGAACCACCAUAGCAGUCCAGACUCAUUUUAUUAUUUAUCAUCUCUCAGUAACUGCUCCGACAGUGGCAACAAAGGGUAUUGAAUACUUAUAUUUCAAAUUUUAAAAUUUAUGAUAAUUUGGAGGGAGGUGAAAAAACCUUACUAGGAAAGACAAACAUUCAUUAUUCUACGUGUGUGUGAGCUCAUGUCUCUUACUCUUAGCAUCCUGGGAAUUAAGUACAGCCUUCUGUGUAGGUGUUCCUUUAAAGAAAACAACUUUAAUGCAUUUUACCUCUGCACAUUUCCACUGACAUGACUCCUAUUUGUACAGUGUUCCGAGCACUGUCAAGACUGCCAGAGCUCUGGCACAGGUCCAUAGGUACUCCCACGGAGGCAUUGCCUCAGAAAGACAAGAGAAAGGAACAAAUUGCAGUUGCUUUGAAAUCUUACAGUGGCCUAUAGGGGUUGGGAUAGGGCAGUAAGGAGAUCCAGCUGAGGUAUUCAGGGACUGGUAAGCUUGGAUAAGUGUGUUUAAAGCCUUGAAAACCAGAAGAAGAGUUUAGUCUUGAUGUGAAUGUGGUCAGUGGUAGAGAACUAUAGGUUCUUAGCAAAAAUGUAGUUUGAACAUAGCAUUUUAAGAACAGUAAUGGGGUAAUAGAUUUGAUUGCAAUUAGGACCGGUUAGAAAGUAAUUCCAGUAGUAUGCCAUUGCUGGCCAGUGCAAAUAAGUUGGCCUAGACUAGCACAGUAGUGGUUGGAAUGGAGAAGAACUAUGAAUUAGAAAUUGGAAAGCGUAAGAGCUGAGAAAAGGCCUUCAGAUUUGGUUAGAUCUGUGGUGAUCUUUAAAAAUGUAACUUUCAUAGAAAAGUACAGAAUGGAAGCCCAUCUUUUUAGGAUUAAUGAGGAAAUGUCAAGAAUAUGUAUGCAGCAAUCAUUGACUACUUAGUGUUAAGACAUUUGACAACAAAGUUGAAGAGACAAACAAGAUGCUAACUAGAUGGGUGGUAGAUCUUAGAAGGCAUUGCUUUAAUAUAAGGGAGAAGAAGAACCUAAA